rnacentral:rRNA from 1 species
GAUGAACGCUGGCGGUAUGCUUAACACAUGCAAGUCGAACGGACUCUUCGGAGUUAGUGGCGGACGGGUGAGUAACGCGUGAGAAUCUGGCUUUGGGUUCGGGACAACCACUGGAAACGGUGGCUAAUACCGGAUGUGCCGAGAGGUAAAAGAGAAAUUGCCUGAAGAUGAGCUCGCGUCUGAUUAGCUAGUUGGUGAGGUAAAGGCUCACCAAGGCAGCGAUCAGUAGCUGGUCUGAGAGGAUGACCAGCCACACUGGGACUGAGACACGGCCCAGACUCCUACGGGAGGCAGCAGUGGGGAAUUUUCCGCAAUGGGCGAAAGCCUGACGGAGCAAUACCGCGUGAGGGAAGAAGGCUCUUGGGUUGUAAACCUCUUUUCUUAGGGAAGUACAAAAUGACGGUACCUAAGGAAUCAGCAUCGGCUAACUCCGUG